rnacentral:rRNA from 1 species
UACAGAGGGGGCAAGCGUUGUUCGGAAUUACUGGGCGUAAAGGGCGCGUAGGCGGCCUGCUAAGUCGAACGUGAAAUCCCUGGGCUCAACCCAGGAACUGCGUCCGAUACUGGUUGGCUUGAAUCCGGGAGAGGGAUGUGGAAUUCCAGGUGUGAGCGGUGAAAUGCGUAGAUAUACUGGAGGAACACCGGUGGCGAAGGCGACAUCCUGGACCGGUAUUGACGCUGAGGCGCGAAAGCGUGGGGAGCAAACAGG